rnacentral:rRNA from 1 species
GUCGAACGGAGCGCCCGGACGGAGUAUUUCGGUACAAAGACCGGGUGGCUGAGUGGCGGACGGGUGAGUAACGCGUGGACAACCUGCCGUGUACAGGGGGAUAACAGCCGGAAACGGCUGCUAAUACCGCAUAUGCGCACAGUGCCGCAUGGCACAGUGCGGAAAGCCUAGAUCUUAUCUAGUACGGUACACGAUGGGUCCGCGUCUGAUUAGGUAGUUGGCGGGGUAACGGCCCACCAAGCCCACGAUCAGUAGCCGGCCUGAGAGGGCGGACGGCCACACUGGGACUGAGACACGGCCCAGACUCCUGCGGGAGGCAGCAGUGGGGAAUAUUGCACAAUGGGGGGAACCCUGAUGCGGGGGGGCCGCGUGAAGGAAGAAGUAUCUCGGUAUGUAAACUUCUAUCAGCAGGGAAGAAAGAGGACGGUACCUGACUAAGAAGCCCCGGCUAACUACGUGCCAGCAGCCGCGGUAAUACGUAGGGGGCGAGCGUUAUCCGGAUUUACUGGGUGUAAAGGGAGCGUAGACGGCCAUGCAAGCUCGGUGUGAAAGGUGCGGGCACAACCCGCAGACUGCACUGAGAACUGUAUGGCUGGAGUGCCGGAGGGGCAGGCGGAAUUCCUGGUGUAGCGGUGAAAUGCGUAGA